rnacentral:rRNA from 1 species
AGAGUUUGAUCCUGGCUCAGGACGAACGCUGGCGGCGUGCUUAACACAUGCAAGUCGAACGAUGACGGGGAGCUUGCUCCCUGGAUUAGUGGCGAACGGGUGAGUAACACGUGAGCAACCUGCCCCUAACUCUGGGAUAACGCUUCGAAAGGAGUGCUAAUACCGGAUACCAGCACGGAGGACAUCCUCUGUGCUUGAAAGUUUUUCGGUUAGGGAUGGGCUCGCGGCCUAUCAGCUUGUUGGUGAGGUAAAAGCUCACCAAGGCGACGACGGGUAUCCGGCCUGAGAGGGCGACCGGACACACUGGGACUGAGACACGGCCCAGACUCCUACGGGAGGCAGCAGUGGGGAAUAUUGCGCAAUGGGCGAAAGCCUGACGCAGCGACGCCGCGUGAGGGAUGAAGGUCUUCGGAUUGUAAACCUCUUUCAGCAGGGACGAAGCGAAAGUGACGGUACCUGCAGAAGAAGCACCGGCUAACUACGUGCCAGCAGCCGCGGUAAUACGUAGGGUGCAAGCGUUGUCCGGAUUUAUUGGGCGUAAAGAGCUCGUAGGCGGUUAGACACGUCGGAUGUGAAAACUGGGGGCUCAACCCCCAGCCUGCAUUCGAUACGGUCUGACUAGAGUGUGGUAGGGGUAACUGGAAUUCCUGGUGUAGCGGUGAAAUGCGCAGAUAUCAGGAGGAACACCGAUGGCGAAGGCAGGUUACUGGGCCACCACUGACGCUGAGGAGCGAAAGCGUGGGGAGCAAACAGGAUUAGAUACCCUGNUAGUCCACGCCGUAAACGGUGGGCGCUAGAUGUGGGGACCAUUCCNUGGUUUCUGCGUCGCAGCUAACGCNUNAAGCGCCCCGCCUGGGGAGUACGGUCGCAANANUAAACUCAAGGNANUUGACGGGGGCCCGCACAAGCAGCGGAGUAUG